rnacentral:rRNA from 1 species
GACGAACGCUGGCGGCGUGCUUAACACAUGCAAGUCUACGAGAAUAAGGUAGCAAUAUCUUUAGUAAGGUGGCGCACGGGUGAGUAACACGUAAGUAACCUACCUUUAGAUUUGGAAUAACCCCGAGAAAUCGGGGCUAAUACCGAAUGAUGCAGCGGCACCACAUGGUGAUGUUGUUAAAGUCUAUAUGACGUCUAAAGAUGGGCUUGCGUCUGAUUAGCUAGUUGGUGAGGUAACGGCUCACCAAGGCUACGAUCAGUAGCUGGUCUGAGAGGAUGAUCAGCCACACUGGAACUGAGACACGGUCCAGACUCCUACGGGAGGCAGCAGUGAGGAAUAUUGGGCAAUGCCCGAAAGGGUGACCCAGCAACGCCGCGUGGAGGAUGAAUGCCGUAAGGUUGUAAACUCCUGUUAGAGGGGAAGAAAAAUCUCGAUCAAAUCGAGAACUGACUGUACCCUCAGAGAAAGCCCCGGCUAACUACGUGCCAGCCGCCGCCGUAACAC